rnacentral:rRNA from 1 species
CCCGGGCCUUGUACACACCGCCCGUCACGCCACGAAAGUUUAUUGUACCAAAAAACGGUGCGCAAACCCGCAAGGGAUGCAGCCGGCUACGGUAUGGUAGAUAAUUGGGGCG